CUACCGGGGUAUCUAAUCCUGUUUGCUCCCCACGCUUUCGAGCCUCAGCGUCAGUAAUGAGCCAGUGUGUCGCCUUCGCCACUGGUGUUCUUCCGAAUAUCUACGAAUUUCACCUCUACACUCGGAGUUCCACACACCUCUCUCAUACUCAAGACACCCAGUAUCAAAGGCAAUUCCGAGGUUGAGCCCCGGGAUUUCACCCCUGACUUAAAUGUCCGCCUACGCUCCCUUUACGCCCAGUAAUUCCGAGCAACGCUAGCCCCCUUCGUAUUACCGCGGCUGCUGGCAC
rnacentral:rRNA from 1 species